GGACAAUAAAAAAUCUUAAUCGAGCAGGUUCUGCAAUUCACUUCCGAGUGAAUUUCAACCUCUGCCAAUUUGAAUACAAAGCGAACUUGACUCAAAUUCACUUGGAAGUGAAUUGCAGAUCUUGCUGGA